rnacentral:rRNA from 1 species
UACGUAGGGUGCAAGCGUUUGUCCGGAAUUAUUGGGCGUAAAGAGCUUGUAGGCGGUUUGUCGCGUCUGCUGUGAAAUUUCGGGGCUCAACCCCGAACUUGCAGUGGGUACGGGCAGACUAGAGUGUGGUAGGGGAGACUGGAAUUCCUGGUGUAGCGGUGAAAUGCGCAGAUAUCAGGAGGAACACCGAUGGCGAAGGCAGCUCGCUGGGACGGUACUGACGCUGAGACGCGAAAGCGUGGGGAGCAAACAGG